AUCAAAUAACCAAAUGCAAUCGAUACUACUAGGAUGUGCUCUCUUGUCUCAUGAAGAUAUCGUUAGUUACAAAUUGAUUUUUAGAACUUGGAUUGAGCUUCUCAAUUCUAAAAUUGCACAUGGAGAAUUCAAGUCCAUGAUCCUUGAUAGUAUUAGUAUUGAAAACUUUGAGAUAAGAUGGGCAGAAUAUAUUUCAAACAAGGGACUACUUCAACAAGCUUUUAUAUUGAGAAGGAGAAAUGAAUUACUGCGUACCUUGAUAUAUUCUUUUGGGCUGGUAUGUUAUCUACACAAAGAAGUGAGGGAAUGCAUGUAUUUUUUUUUUGAAGGAUUCAUCUCUCGUCAAGGCACCUUGAAGCUAUUUGUACACCAAUAUGAAUUAGCUAUAAGAGCUAAGCAUGAGAAAGAGUUGGAAGCAGAGUAUCGGUCCUGGGGAUUUCAUAUUAUAAGUCACUUACUCUUCAAGUGGGAGGAAUAGGUAACUCAAUGUUACACUCGCAUGGUGUAUGAAUUUUUCAAGAUACAAUUAAGAAAACUGUAUCAUUGUGAAGUUAGCACCACACAAAGCUAUCCCCGGUGUUGAAAAAUUCAUCAUUGGAGAUUAUUCAAUUAUGCAUAAAAAUGGCGGCAAUCCAUUCGAGUACACAAUUGAAUAUACGCCUAUCUGUAAUUAUUUUAGUUGUAGUUGGAAAAGGUUUGAGUCUAGAGGUAUACUUUGUUGUCAUAUACUCAAGAUUUUUUCACACAAGAAUAUCGAUAAAAUUGAUGAAAGGUAUAUUGACAAGGUGGAGACGAGAUGUUAUUCGACCUCAUUUGAGUCGAUUCUUUUUAGGAGGUUACCCAAAUAUGUUGUUGAGUACAAGACAUAUCGGAGCAUGCUAAUGUAUUUUGACCAGGCUUGUGAUAUAGCAUUGGGUACCGACGUGAAAGUUCAUUAUGUUAAAUAUAAUUUGAAAAGAAUUGUGCAUGAUCCUCAAAACUAGACCGAUGAGAUGAUUGUGGCAGACUCUGAAUUGGAUGACACAGAACAAACUGAAGGUAAAUUCUACAAGAUCCCCAAUACAUUCGUUCACAUGGAAGGCCAGAUAUAACUCAAAGUCGAGGAAGAAUGGAAUAUUACUUUCUAAGUUCACGGCCACAUGCUGGAUUUGGAGCUAGCAAUGGUGGAAGAACUGGUGUUAGUGUUUGUGACAGAAAUUAAAAGAGUAAUGACUCUUACAUUUAUUAGAUAGUAGUUAAUUAAAGGUGUCAGGAAGUUAGUUACAGUCUAACAAAAAUUAGAGUUAAAGUUAAGUGUAUAAAUAGUUGUAAGCUAGCUUUAUGUAAAAGUACUCUGUUUGUUCUCAAUCGAUGAAAGAUUAGUCUUCUAUGUUUACUCUACAAAAACUCUGUAAAUCUUCAUGGUAUCAGAGCACCGAUCAAAGUCUGAAUCAAUCAAAGUCUGAGUAGUUCAAUGUUUAGAUCAUAUUUCUGAAGAUCAGACUCUGUAAAUUCAUCAAGCAUAUUUUGGAUCAGAUUUCUGAAGAUCAGAAUCUGAAAAAUUCAUCAAGUUUCCAAGAUUUCUAAAGAUCAGAAUAUGAAAAUUCAUCAAGCUUCUGCAAUAUAAAUCAGAAAAUAGAAAGAUCAAUGGCAAACAUUGCAAUUUUGGCUAAUGGAAGUUCUACACCUGUGAUACCUGGAAAUCAAACAAUGGAUUAUAAUCAUCCUCUAUACUUUAAGUCCUGAUGACGUUAGUGGGAUUAACCUCAUCUCGUUUCAACUUCUUAGGAUCAAAAUCUAUGCUGUGUGGAGUCGAUCCAUUCGAUUGGCCUUGGUUGGAAGAAACAAAAACGGAUUAGUGGAUGGAUCCUGUAGAAAGAAUGAUGUUAGUGCAGAACUAGGGGGUUAGUGAGAAAGAGAAAAUUCUAUAGUUCUCUCGUGGAUUCUGAAUUCUGUGUCCAAAAGUCUGUAUGCAGGGGUAUUUGCAACAUCUACUCAAGGAGUCUGGAGUGAUUUGAAAGAAAGAUUCGAUCGAUUGGAUGGAUCAAGAACUUUCAGUUUGCAUAAAGAAAUCGCUACAAUGCAACAAGGUACAGAUUUUGUGUCUAUAUAUUUUAGAAAGCUUAAAGAAUUGUGGGAUGAAUAUGAAACCUUGAUGCCAUCUCCUGGGUGUGACUAUGAGAGGUCGAGUGGUGUUGUUGAGCAUCUAAAUAGACAAAAACUCUAUCAAUUCCUGAUGGGAUUGAAUGAAUCGUUUGGAUAGGCAAAUAUUGUUGAUGUGUCCAGUUCCUGGAGUCAAUGAGGCUUAUGCAAUGGUGGUGAAUGAUGAAUGUCAAAAAUUGACUUCUAGUGGUGUUAAUAUAGGAUUGAAAUUCAUUUGUUCUACUGGAGUUGAUUCUCUAGUGAUGUAUUCAAGAACUGGAGGUCAGUCUUAAAAUAAAGGAUAUAACAGGUUCAAGAAAAACUUGGGAUUAGUGUGUGAAUUCUGUAGACGCAAAGGACAUUCUAAAGAACAAGGUUACAAUUUGAUAGGAUAUCCUCAUGACUUCAAGUCAAAGAGAAAAGUGAUUAAUGGAGCAGGGCACAAUGCUUACAUGACUGGAAAUGAGUUUACUACUGCAAGAAGAGAUGGAUAUGAUGGGAUGUCAAAUGAGUCUUCAUUCAACUCUGAGAAUGCUACUAAGGGUAAAAGGACAAAAGUCACAAGUUAACACCAGUGUAGUAAGUGAAACUGAAAAUCAUCUGCAAGGGUUUAAGUUUACCAAAGACCAAUAUAGCAAAUUCUAAGAAUGCUUAACCAAAAUCAAGACUGUACAAAUAUAUCAGGGAGUGCAGCUCAUGGAGUUCAAGCUAAUUCAGCAGGAACUCUACAAUGGAAAGGUGAGGAAGAUUGGUAAGGAAGAGGCUGGGUUGUAUUUGCUGUUGAAAAAUCUUACAAGGGCAAGUGCAGUUUCAAUCUUGUUUGGCAGAAAGGAGAAGUAAAGAAGCAAAGAAGUUGACAGAAGAAGAAGUGAAUGUAUGACACAAAAGACUAGGAGACAUAUCCUUACAUACUUUGAGCAAGUUAUUUUCUGUCAAUCCAGAGGUUGUGAACAAAGCUUUGAAUAAAUGUAAUGUUUGUCCUUGUGCAAAACAAACAAGAAUUGUGUUUCCAA